GAGCCAGCGGCCAUCUUAGGGGAGGCACGUUGCGGGGCGUCGAGGGAGCCAUCUUGAGCGUGGCCAGAGCCAAAGCCGCGCGGGGACCGCAUCCGCCAUCUUGGAGAGGGAGCCGCAAUGGAGACACAUAGAACUGCUCGCAGUAUAGAAGAACAGUCAAGGCCGGCCUCUGAACGCGGGUUCAUUUCGAAAAUGUUCACCCUCAUUGGUUGCUCAUCGUGAUCUUUUCUAAGUUUUCCUGUCUCCUCAUGAUGUGGCCAAAAUACUUCAACUUUGCCUCUAAUAUCCUUCCCUCCAGUGAGCAGUUGGGCAUUAUUUCCUGGAGGAUGGACUGGUUGGAUCUUCUUGCGGUCCAAGGCACACUCAGGAUUUUCCUCCAACACCAAAGUUCAAAAGCAUCUAUCUUCCUUUGCUCAGCCUUCCUUAUGGUCCAGCUCUCGCAACCAUAAGUCACUAUGGGGAAUACAAUUGCUUUGACUAUACGGACCUUCAUUGCCAGUAUGAUGUCUCUGCUCUUCACUAUUUUAUCAAGGUUGGCCAUUGUUCUUCUCCAAGAAGUAAAAGUCUUCCGAUUUCCUGGCUGCAGUCUGCAUCUGCAGUGAUCUUCAAGCCUAGAAAUAUAAAUUCUGUCACUGCCUCCAUGUUUUCUCCUUCUAUUUGCCAGUUAUCAAUAGGUGUGGUUGCCUUGAUCUUGGUUUUCUUGAUGUUUAACUGCAACCCAUCUUUUGCGCUUUCUUCUUUAGGUUUGCUUUUAAUUACUCUGAUUUUAUCUGCUUGGAUUUUAAUGUAUUGUCCAUUAUUGUAUUUUGUGUAUCGUUGAAAUGUUUUAAGUUUUUGUCAAAUAUGUUGUGUCGUUGUUUCGGGCUUGUCCCUGUUGUGAGUUGCCCCGAGUCCCUUUGGGGAGAUGGGGCGGGAUAUAAAAAUAAAGAUGAUGAUGAUUAUUAUUA